GACCUUGUGGCGCAAUGGAAGCGCGUCGGCUUCCGCCGAAAACUUUCCGGAGCCGAAGGGCUCAAGUCUCGCCAGAGUUA
rnacentral:tRNA from 1 species